ACGAAAAAUAACGAUACGGGACUCAUCCGAGGCCCCGUAAUCGGAAUGAGUACACUCUAAACCCUUUAACGAGGAUCAAUUGGAGGGCAAGUCUGGUGCCAGCAGCCGCGGUAAUUCCAGCUCCAAUAGCGUAUAUUAAAGUUGUUGCGGUUAAAAAGCUCGUAGUCGAAUUUGUGUCCCGCGCCGCCGGUUCAUCGCUCGCGGUGUUAACUGGCGUGUUCGCGGGACGUCCUGCCGGUGGGCUUAGCUCUUUCGGGGGCGGCCCAAUCUCAAUCCCACCGCGGUGCUCUUCACUGAGUGUCGAGGUGGGCCGGCACGUUUACUUUGAACAAAUUAGAGUGCUUAAAGCAGGCUAAAACAUCGCCUGAAUACUGUGUGCAUGGAAUAAUGGAAUAGGACCUCGGUUCUAUUUUGUUGGUUUUCGGAACCCCGAGGUAAUGAUUAAUAGGAACGGAUGGGGGCAUUCGUAUUGCGACGUUAGAGGUGAAAUUCUUGGAUCGUCGCAGGACGGACAGAAGCGAAAGCAUUUGCCAAAAACGUUUUCAUUGAUCAAGAACGAAAGUUAGAGGUUCGAAGGCGAUCAGAUACCGCCCUAGUUCUAACCAUAAACUAUGCCAGCUAGCGAUCCGCCGACGUUCCUCCGAUGACUCGGCGGGCAGCUUCCGGGAAACCAAAGCUUUUGGGUUCCGGGGGAAGUAUGGUUGCAAAGCUGAAACUUAAAGGAAUUGACGGAAGGGCACCACCAGGAGUGGAGCCUGCGGCUUAAUUUGACUCAACACGGGAAACCUCACCAGGCCCGGACACCGGAAGGAUUGACAGAUUGAGAGC
rnacentral:rRNA from 1 species